GACGAACGCUGGCGGCGUGCCUAAUACAUGCAAGUAGAACGCACAGGAUGCACCGUAGUUUACUACACCGUAUUCUGUGAGUUGCGAACGGGUGAGUAACGCGUAGGUAACCCGCCUGGUAGCGGGGGAUAACUAUUGGAAACGAUAGCUAAUACCGCAUAAGAACAUUUACUGCAUGGUAGAUGUUUAAAAGGUGCAAAUGCAUCACUACCAGAUGGACCUGCGUUGUAUUAGCUAGUAGGUGAGGUAACGGCUCACCUAGGCGACGAUACAUAGCCGACCUGAGAGGGUGAUCGGCCACACUGGGACUGAGACACGGCCCAGACUCCUACGGGAGGCAGCAGUAGGGAAUCUUCGGCAAUGGGGGGAACCCUGACCGAGCAACGCCGCGUGAGUGAAGAAGGUUUUCGGAUCGUAAAGCUCUGUUGUUAAGGAAGGACGAGUGUGAGAAUGGAAAGUUCAUACUGUGACGGUACUUAACCAGAAAGGGACGGCUAACUACGUGCCAGCAGCCGCGGUAAUACGUAGGUCCCGAGCGUUGUCCGGAUUUAUUGGGCGUAAAGCGAACGCAGGCGGUUAGAUAAGUCUGAAGUUAAAGGCAGUGGCUCAACCAUUGUAGGCUUUGGAAAUUGUUUAACUUGAGUGCAGAAGGGGAGAGUGGAAUUCCAUGUGUAGCGGUGAAAUGCGUAGAUAUAUGGAGGAACACCGGUGGCGAAAGCGGCUCUCUGGUCUGUAACUGACGCUGAGGCUCGAAAGCGUGGGGAGCGAACAGG
rnacentral:rRNA from 1 species